CGUAACACUUGCCUGCCGGCUGGCACAGUCCAAGCCUAGUUGUGCAAUAUGCAUGGUCUGAUAGGCAAUUGGCAAGGCUGUCGGUCGAGCCCCUCUCUCUAUCUCUGUCUCUCUUGUUUAGCCACCCUAGUCUUUGUAUCGAGUCAUUUUGUCAAAAAUUUGUUUUCCUUAGUCUUUGUAGAACACUGAUUUGGUUCGUGUAGUUUGAGGAGAUAAAUGCUAGUUUUCGACUGAGCAUGUUGACCUCGGAAGCAUGUGGAUUCAUCCCAUUGAUUCUUACAUUUUCUAAGCCUGCAAACCAGGUGUCUUCUUGUACUGUACUCUCAACACGUUUACCCGUAGUGGUCGUUAAUUCUGCCUCCCUAGGUUAUUUUGUCUACUUGUUUUCAUUGUAUGUUACUUAAUUACCAGGUGAUGCUGCGUGGAGACAUGUAAAAUCCACCAAAACCCCUUAAACCACAUCAGCGAAACUACUUCCCUGCACGCUAUCUUUCUGUACUUUUUAGUUUUUGUUGUAGUUUUGAAUUUCUUUAAGCAUGCUCUUGUCACUUACCAAUUUAUUUAUGCAAUUUCUCAGAUUGAAACGCAAAACUCCAUUAUUUCUUUUCUUUUAAAAAAAAAUCAUAAGAAAAGGGGGAAAUGACUUGCGAGAGAAGAGCAUGCCUAAGGAAGCCCACGUUUCCAUUUCUUUAUCAUAGAGUCUUGGGUGGGUCCUCCCUCACAGAGAGGAACGCAAAAGUUGAAUGCCCGAGAGUAGCUGUCCCGGUCAAACUGCCCACAAGGGUAGCUGUUCUGGCCAAACUGCCCAAGAGUAUCGCUGUUCUAGUCAAACUGCCGAAGGGUAGCUGUUCUGGUCAAACUGUUUUUGGGGGGGCUCACUCUGUUUUAUGAUUGGCCGCAGUUGUGGCCGCCACUGGCAAGGUCCGGGAGGGGGCUGGCGCGGCCGGCCCUUGGGCUGGCCUCUGAUGCCCUUCAGGGCUGACCCCCCCCACUGGCCCCGUCCAAUAGUAGUCCCUCGUUGCGCGUUGUGAACGAGCCCUGCUCCCGAAGGCUCUCGAGGCUGGUCCGUCUACGGCCACGGCAGUGGCUCUUCGGCGCCGCACCGGACGCGCUCACGGCUGGAGCGCGACCACUCGGCCGAGUACGACGACUACAGCGACCGCGAGCGCGACCGGGACGUGCGGGACCGGGACCGCGACCGGGACAUGUACGGCGGCCACGGCGGCCACCAGAGCGGCCACCACUACGGCGGCGGCGGCAGCGGCGGCCACCACAUGGCGCACCCGGGCCACCACGGCCAGGACCACCGGCACCCGCACGGCCACCCGCAGGGCCGCGGGCCGCCCGACCACCACCCGCACCACCGCCACCACCAGGACUACGACGACGACUACCGGCACGGCGGCCACCGCGCGUCGUCGCGCAGGGCCCUCAACGCCCUGUAGAGACGUCCAGCACGCACCAGGGUGGCUCGGCGGCCCGGCUCGACGGUGACCGCGGGCAAACUGUCUCUCUCUCCGCCCCUCCCGACGGUCAUAUUCUGUGAUUUAUUUCAUUUGUGCCAUUUCAGGAUAUGUCAUGACAAGUAGAGUGUCGUUGGCGCCCGUCACUGGGCCCGAGUGACUCUGUGCUGCUCCUAGUUGUUGGGGACCACCACGUGGACUGUGCGCGUGGCGCACCUUGGCCAACCGAACUCUCCCUCCCCCUCCCCAUCCCCUCUCGAGGACCAACCGGACCAGCCUUCGCCCCGCUGUGCAGCGCGCCAUGUGCAGCCACAGGGAGACCCCUGUGGAGGCCCUCCGCUCCGCGCGAGUGGAAGGACACUACAGGACUACUUCGUGUCUGUCUCCUCCUCCCCUACAAUCAAACUGGGCGGCAAGGCAUGGCUAACUCCUUGUUUAGUUUGUUACGUAUUGUUGUAUUGUUCCUACUAUUUUUUUACUGAGCUGUACUGGGUUUGCGACAACACUCAACCUUUCUUGUCGUCAACCCGUUUAGCCUGCCAGAAGUAUUUUCAAAAGAAAAAGUGACGGUACCAGUGGAAUAGUAUUUAUUGAUGCCUCAUUUUUCUUUUGUUGUAUUUAAACUACAUCAGGUUUUGUGUACCUACUUACCCGGGUUGAUACCCAUCCUGUGGCGUUUUGGGCAGUUUUAAACCUCCUUGUGGUUCGUCCACAACUGGAUUUGAUUAAAUAUCAAUCUUCUCAUUUCAUUUUUCAUUUUUACGGGUGUUAUCUAUUUUCUUUUAAUAUUGCUGCCCGGAGACUGAAGCCGCUGCGUUCAGGGUGUCAUGUUGCCCUUGUUAUAUGUGUACUUGGUGAUAUGUUUUGCAUGGUAAAUUUUUAUUGUAUGUAUGAAACUGAAAGCAGAGUGAUUUUCAAAAACCACCUGCAUUAAGAGAGAGUUACAGGAAACGUUAUGCAAUCAAAAUAUGCAAAAGUGUUCAAUAGUUUUGUUGAUAGUUACAAUCUGCUUCAUACUUUGAUACUUUGUUGUGUUCCCCUCUGUCCUCUAGGGACAAACUGAAUUCCGAAAAAACUGCCUCCAGCUCACUUUAGGCCUUGGCUGCAGAACUCUUAUUUUCAAAUUUUACUACCGCCUCAGACAGAUUGUUAAUACCCUAAACAUUGCCGUAUGUCUUUUCAUUCCAGAACUUUUUGUUGCAUCCUGAUGUAAUAGUGUUAUAAAAAAUAAUUCGCGCAAAAUUACGAUUAACAACAACCUACUCUGAAUUCUGUUUUAAAGAAAGAAGCAGCCAGGCUGUAUGUAUAUCUGUUGCAAAUUUGUUUGCAGUGGUGCUGGAGAUCCUUAAUUUUACAUUACAGUACAACUAUUAUCCUUUAGUCAAUAGCAGUAGAUAUUUCAGAUUCAGAACUAAAUGGUUCAUCUUCAAAUACAUUGAAUAGUCAGCUGCUUUUACUAUCAGGGACAAAGAUAACAUUUUAAAAUUAAAUGCACUCUUGACCAAUCAAGAAAUUAUAUGAAUUAUGAUCAUCCUAAUGCAUUUGAGCCGUCUCUUUUUCAAUUUAGAAACUUUUAUUUAAUAGGUAGGUCUUUUACAUUGAACCAAUGGCAUACCUUAACUUACUCUAUGAUUUGGACUCUUGAUUAAAAGUGUUCUCUGUUAUUACCCUGGUGGUUUACAUUUGAUUUUAGAUUAGGGCGUAUUAUUCCUCAUUAACUGAAGUAACAAUUUCAAUACUUUCAUACAUUUUUAAAAAUAUAUAUUUACAAGGAAUAAAUGAGUGCCAGCAUUGCUAAAAAUAUCUAUAAUCUGUUCAGUUGAAUUGGAUGCAAAUAAUACAGUGUUAUGAUGGUAGGAGGUCAGCAUGAAUACUUUGUCUUAUAUUGCACAACAAAUAUUUUGCACAAUUAAAGACUUGAACGGAUAAUUAAAUCUAAAUUCAUUUUUCACUAGUGUAACUAUAUUAAGUAUGUUUUUGCAAUGGAAUUGACUUUUUGUGUAUUAGUUAUAGGUAUUUAAAGUAUCAUUUGAUGACAAUCCUACUCUCUUAGCAGCAACAUGGUUGUCACUGACUUCAAUUCCCUUGAUCAGAAGCAUGCUGGCACUGCCUCCCUUCUUGGGUUACUUUUCCCUGAUAACUUGAAGAGGAUACACUUGUAAGGAAUGCCACGCUAUUUCACAAUGGUACUACAUGUCACGACUCUCUUUUGAGUACAAACAAAAAUAUUUUGGAUUCAGGUGUUGUGGUCAGGGUAGCAGAUUUAUCUGCAAGGGUCACAACAAGAGUAAUUGAAGUCUUCUCUAAGGCUAAAUAAGUGAUUGCUGUGUUGAAUGAAAAACUUGAUUUGUUCCUGAGGGUAAAUUUAAUUUAGUAUUGUUCUAUGUUCAGUGUGUUUCCUUGUCGCUUAAAGAAAACCAACACAUAUGUACUUUUAAGAUGAAAUACUUCACAAAUAUUUUGGAAGUAUUCAUAGCUUUUGAUCUGUCCCUUGUAAGUUUAUUGAUUAAGGGAUUAAAAAGUGCUUGGUGUAUUGUUAUGUGUCAUUGAUGAGAAAGAGGCAACUCAGAGGAUUUCAGGAAAGUGCUAUGGGCUACUGGGACCUGCUAGGGUGCAAUCAUUGUACUGUUAUGUCAUAUAGCUAAAGCCCGCUACCCUUCAGCCUCUUUACCCAACACUACUGUGUACAUUGUGAUAAAUCUAGUUGUUUUGAAAAUUAUGAAUAUUUUUCUUUUCUUUUUUGGGUGGGGCUAUAAAUACAUUGAAAUAAUGUGUCAUCCCAAUAUUAACGGUUUGUGCCUACCAUGUACUCUCCAUCCUUUCCUACAGCCCACUGCAUACUUGUACAUAUUCAUAUAAGAGAAACAAAAAAAUUUUUAUCUACUCUAAAA